AAAUUGAAGAGUUUGAUCAUGGCUCAGAUUGAACGCUGGCGGCAGGCCUAACACAUGCAAGUCGAACGGUAACAGGAAGCAGCUUGCUGCUUUGCUGACGAGUGGCGGACGGGUGAGUAAUGUCUGGGAAACUGCCUGAUGGAGGGGGAUAACUACUGGAAACGGUGGCUAAUACCGCAUAACGUCGCAAGACCAAAGAGGGGGACCUUCGGGCCUCUUGCCAUCAGAUGUGCCCAGAUGGGAUUAGCUUGUUGGUGAGGUAACGGCUCACCAAGGCGACGAUCCCUAGCUGGUCUGAGAGGAUGACCAGCCACACUGGAACUGAGACACGGUCCAGACUCCUACGGGAGGCAGCAGUGGGGAAUAUUGCACAAUGGGCGCAAGCCUGAUGCAGCCAUGCCGCGUGUAUGAAGAAGGCCUUCGGGUUGUAAAGUACUUUCAGCGGGGAGGAAGGUGUUGUGGUUAAUAACCGCAGCAAUUGACGUUACCCGCAGAAGAAGCACCGGCUAACUCCGUGCCAGCAGCCGCGGUAAUACGGAGGGUGCAAGCGUUAAUCGGAAUUACUGGGCGUAAAGCGCACGCAGGCGGUCUGUCAAGUCGGAUGUGAAAUCCCCGGGCUCAACCUGGGAACUGCAUUCGAAACUGGCAGGCUUGAGUCUUGUAGAGGGGGGGGGUAGAAUUCCGGGUGUAGCGGUGAAAUGCGUAGAGAUCUGGAGGAAUACCGGUGGCGAAGGCGGCCCCGGACAAAGACUGACGCUCAGGUGCGAAAGCGUGGGGAGCAAACAGGAUUAGAUACCCCGGUAGUCCACGCCGUAAACGAUGUCUACUUGGAGGUUGUGCCCUUGAGGCGUGGCUUCCGGAGCUAACGCGUUAAGUAGACCGCCCGGGGAGUACGGCCGCAAGGUUAAAACUCAAAUGAAUUGACGGGGCCCGCACAAGCGGUGGAGCAUGUGGUUUAAUUCGAUGCAACGCGAAGAACCUUACCUGGUCUUGACAUCCACAGAACUUUCCAGAGAUGGACUGGUGCCUUCGGGAACUGUGAGACAGGUGCUGCAUGGCUGUCGUCAGCUCGUGUUGUGAAAUGUUGGGUUAAGUCCCGCAACGAGCGCAACCCUUAUCCUUUGUUGCCAGCGAUUCGGUCGGGAACUCAAAGGAGACUGCCAGUGAUAAACUGGAGGAAGGUGGGGAUGACGUCAAGUCAUCAUGGCCCUUACGACCAGGGCUACACACGUGCUACAAUGGCGCAUACAAAGAGAAGCGACCUCGCGAGAGCAAGCGGACCUCAUAAAGUGCGUCGUAGUCCGGAUUGAGUCUGCAACUCGACUCCAUGAAGUCGGAAUCGCUAGUAAUCGUGGAUCAGAAUGCCACGGUGAAUACGUUCCCGGGCCUUGUACACACCGCCCGUCACACCAUGGGAGUGGGUUGCAAAAGAAGUAGGUAGCUUAACCUUCGGGAUGGCGCUUACCACUUUGUGAUUCAUGACUGGGGUGAAGUCGUAACAAGGUAACCGUAGGGGAACCUGCGGUUGGAUCACCUCCUUACCUGAAAGAAGC
rnacentral:rRNA from 1 species